AACGAACGCUGGCGGCGUGCCUAACACAUGCAAGUCGGGGAGAAGAGGGCUCGGCUCUCGAGUAAACCGGACGCACGGGUGAGUAACACGUAGGUAACGUACCCUUGAGUCCGGGAUAACCAGUCGAAAGACUGGCUAAUACCGGAUACGACCGAGGGGGCUUCGGUCCCCAUGGUGAAAGAUGGCCUCUGCUUGCAAGCUAUCACUCGUGGAUCGGCCUGCGCACCAUUAGCAGUUGGUGGGGUACGGCCCACCAAGCUGAGAUGGUUAGCUGGUCUGAGAGGAUGGCCAGCCGCACUGGGGACUGAGACACGGGCCCAGACUCCUACGGGGAGGCAGCAGUGGGGGAAUAUUGCGCAAU
rnacentral:rRNA from 1 species